rnacentral:tRNA from 1 species
AGUUAAAAACUUAUAUAAAUAGGAUUAUGUCUUGAAAUCAUAAUUUAAGGGUUAAAAUCCCUUUUUAACUU